rnacentral:lncRNA from 1 species
UUUCUAGCUAUUUUUUCUUUGUUUUUGUCACUGUGGACUAUGUCGGAGAACAUCUGGAGAGUAUCUUCAACUUGGCUGAGAAGUCAGAAUCUAAUCUUUAAGAAGUCAGGUUUCCGGAGGUGUAUAAUAUACACGCACAGAGAGCUGACGUUUUCAGCCUACGGCUCUCCGUGUUUUGUUGGAGGUAUUGCCCUUGUUUGGGUGAAGAACUGAUUAUAGCGGGAGAUGGAGCAGGGGACAUAUCAAGAGUGUAUGACAGCAUAUGACAGAAGACACAGCGUGUUCCUAGGAGGAGGCCCUGGAGGGCCUGUAGUCUGUGUGGGAGACUGAGAUAGACCCUAGGAAGACCUUCUGGGAGAGGGAGGAUGAAGCAAAAACGCAGAAAGCUUAACUGCGGUUGAAAAGCAUAAAAAUAACACGUCCUCCUCUCAUUUUAAAUGUUCCAAUGAAUUUCUCUUUGAGCUUUCAUGUAUAGGUGGAAGUGAAUUAACUUUCUAACUCUUGGUGUGGAUUGAUUUAAACUUGAUUUCCAGAGUGGACUUAGGGUUAAGGAAAGGCUGGACGAGGGACCGGAGAGACGGCUCAGCCCUUACAAACGCUUGCUGUAGAGGACAGGGUUCACCGACCAGCACACACAUCAGGUAGGUCACAGUCAUGGGUAACUCCAGUUCCAGAUAUCCCAUGUCCUCUUGGCCUCUGAGGACACCAGGGCACACUGGUGCACAUAGAGACAGGAAGGCACUCACAUAACACAUUUAUAGAAUCUACUUUUUCUGUUUCUUCGUGGUUUUGGUUUUGGCUGUUGUUUUGAGCCGGUCUCACACUAAAUCGCAUGCAUAGACAGUCUAGAACUUUAUAUGUAGUUCUGACUGGCCUCAAACUCAUAGUGAUCCUCCUGCCUCAGCCUCUUGGGUGCCAUCGUGUCCAGCUCAAAGUCCAGUUUUGAAAGGUUUAUUAAAAAACAACAGGCAUUCCUCCCAUAGAAGAUUUGAAAUGGAGCAGGCAUGGUAAGCCCCCGGGGGGGG